rnacentral:rRNA from 2 species
UACGUAGGGGGCUAGCGUUACCCGGAAUCACUGGGCGUAAAGGGAGCGUAGGUGGCCUGACAUGUCAACUGUGAAAACCCGGAGCUCAACUCCGGACUUGCAGUUGAAACUGCCAGGCUUGAGGACGGUAGAGGAAGACGGAACUGCCAGUGUAGGGGUAAAAUCCUUAGAUAUUGGCAGGAACGCCGGUGACGAAGGUGGUCUUCUGGGCCGGAUCUGACACUGAGGCUCGAAAGCCAGGGGAGCGAACGGG